GGACAGCUCAGCCCGGCGGGGGGUCCUGAAGUGAUGUCGCCAUCGCAUCACAAGCCCUGCUCUUUGUGGAGGCGGGGCUGGGGCAGCCUCCGGUGUCACUUUGCCUGUGAGCCAGCGAGCGAGUGAGCAGGUGAAGAGUGUGGCAUUGAGCGGGGACGAAGCAGCAAGGCGGCCGGGUAAGAGCUGCCUCCUUUGGUCUCCCCCCAGGCUCUCCUCCUCUCGGGGCCAUCGGCCUGGCUCUGUCGGCCUCCUCCGCACCCCAAAACCCCUGCAGGCGCCAUCCUUGGGCAGCCAGCUGGGUUGCAGCCUGCGACUGGACGCCCCCUCCCUCCACAUGUCCCCUUCCAAGUGCCACAAUCGCGGAAACAGCCCCUCAGCAAGGCCCAGCAAUGUCCGGCAACGAUUGUGCGCGCUUGGUGCUGAGGACAGGGUGUCCCAGGGGAACAGCGGUGAAAGCAGCCCCCGCAGCGGGCAACCAGGCAAGGCAGAGCGAGGGAGCCCACUGUGCCCUUCUUCUUCCAGAAGUGCUCUCUUGGCGGCCUUGGGCUCUUCUCCUGGGGGUGGAUUGACGCUGUCAAUCUAGCGGCGCGGAGCAGCGUGCAAAGGGACUGCACACGUGAGGCGCGCUCCCUUCGGCGGCAUGGAGCCUCAGAGCCUGAGGACCGCGUGCGGGCUCGUGGCACUGAGCUUUUUGCUCCUGUGCCUGCCCAGCUUCCCCUCGGCCUGCAACCUCCUCAUGCUGCUCCUGACGGUGGCCUCCACGGCUGUCCUGGAUAGCCUCGGGCCCCAGGGGCCUCUGGGCGCUGCUGGCAGCCUGGGCAACGGCAGCGGGGAGUUGCCCGGAGCUCAGCAGCCGUCUCCCAGAGCCUGGCGGCCUCUUUCGCGCCCUGCGCAGCUCAGGCGCCAACGCGCAGGGGAGCCCUCCUCUGCCCCACCUCUGCAACGCUGUACCACCCUGCAGCUCUGGCCCCCACCACUGCAGACGGCCUCCCCUCCCGCUGCACGCGGUGCCCGCUGGAGAGCGGUGCUGGGCUCCCUGCUUUGCCCAGGCUGCACUUGUGGGGGCUUCAGACGACUGCGCAAGGGCAUCCGCAGAUGUGCUGCCCUCCUGCGAAGGAGACGACGAGCGCCCAGCAGCCACCAGGCAAGGAGCAGCUACUUCGGGCAAGCACAGAGCUCAGCGCCUGCGCAGAGGCACUGGUAACA